UCUUCUUCUUAUCUUCUUCUUCUUUCUUCUCUUCUCUUUCCUUUCUCUCCUGUUCUUCUUUCUCUUGCGUGGUUGAGAGAUCAAAUGGGAGUUUUGAGAUCUUGCGAAGAAGGGUAUGAGCAACGGAUCAGUGAUGGUGCUGGUAUUGAUUCAAGUAGUUAGUUCUCUAUCACGGGAAGAGCAAAUUCAAAGAGGGAGUUCGUUAGGGUUCAUGAGAAGAAUCCCUGAGAAGAUUAGAAGAUGAAGUUGAUACUUUAGAGGAUUAAUAAGAGAUGGGUGUGAUUGAUAUGAGGAAUUAUUUAUGUUUUGAACAUGAAUCGGAAGACAGAGGAUUGAGAAUCAAUUUUAGGGUUUUCUGGAAAUUGCCUUGAAGUUCAUUUGGUGACGAUUAUGAAGAAAUUGGAAGAUGGGUAAGUUCUCAAUUGAUGUUUAGUUGAAGCUGUAGAGUUGUUUGUGGAUUGUCUCAGUGAAUUAGGGUUUGAGUUGGAAAUUCGGAUGAUGAUCUAGAAGAUGAAAUCGAAGGUUUAAGUGGAAGAUUUAAGAUGGGUAUUGAUCAAUUGAUUGAAUUAAUCUUAAGGACGAUGAGUAAUUCGAGAUUGGAUAAGUUUGGGUUUUGAAGAUGAGAUCCAUUGAAGUUGUUGGCAGAAUUAGGAUUAGAUUGUGUUUAUGAGAAGGUGAUAAAGACUGUGGAUUGCUGUUAGUUUUGAGACGAUUGCUCGAUUGAGUCAAGAGAAGAAGGAAUUGGACUCCAACUUCCUGAGUGAGUCUAUUACAAGGUAACUGUUCUUCAAGUAAACUUUUUAAAGUUAUUAUUGUUAAUGGUUGAAUGUGUGUGUUAUAAUUGAAGCUAAUUUGGAAUUGAAUAUGAAGUAGAACUGUUGGUAUGUUAAGGUUUGGGAUGAAGUUAAGAUAUUUGAGUUGAAAGUUUAAUUACAACUGAGUUUAAAAUGAAUGGAGUUUUGUUCUAAUGAAGGAUACAUAUGUGUUGAUUUCUGAUGCAGCUCAAUGUGUAUGUAUGAAAAUGAUGAGAAUGGAAAUUUACAGUGGUAGUGUUGCAAGGGAACUGAGAUUAGAUGUUUUGAAGAGUGUUAAUUGAGAUUGUGGUGGUAGUAUGUUUUACUGUAUUGAUGCAGCGGUGGCUAAAGUGACGUGUAAUUUAGGAUGAGGUUGUUGGGGUUAUGUUGGAUGUCAUGGUUAAAGAGAUAGAAGAUGAUAUGAGGUACAGUUAAUGAUAGCUGUAGUUGGGAAUGAAACUGAUGAUAAAUGAAUUGAAGUAUGUUGUGUGGUUACAGUGAAAGGGUUUAUAUGAGUGGAUAGAUCUGAGAUUGAGCUUAGUUUGAUAGUGAUGAUAGAAUUGUACAUUGUAUUCCUAUGAAAGCUUGGAAGCUUGCAACUACUUCAAUUUCAGUUAGUCUAUAUUAACAACGAUCGAUUCAAAGGAUGAACCAGUGGAUCGUGGAUCUCGAGGUAGGCGUGGCUUGUCAUCAAAAGAGUUUUCAGAGACAGAUCAGAGUUGCGCAGCGAAAGCCACAAGUGUUGACUCCGUUAAUUAGUUAACUUCUACUAUGUUUAUUAUGUUGUUUAUGGUAUCUGUAAACCAAUUGACUAUUGUAUAUGUAACAUUUGAGAGAAGUUGAUGUAUUUAUAUUUCUGAACGGGGCUAGUAUUUGGGUUAAGUUUUGUAGCAUAUUCCUUAAUUGAAUGCUUAAGUAUAUGAUUUGGAUCAUUAGUGCUUCUUUA